AAAAAGAUGUGGUAUAUAUAUAACAUGGAAUAUUACUUAGCCAUGAAAAAGAAUGAAAUUCUGCUAUUUGCAGCAAAGUGGAUCAACCUAGAGAAUACUAUACUUAGUGCAGGAAGUCAGAUAAAGACAGAUACUGUAUGAUAUCACUUAUUUGUGGAAUCUGAAAAAUAAUACAAAUGAACAUACACAGCAAAACAGAAAUGGACUCACAGAUAUAAGAGACAAACUAGUGUUAACCAGUGGGG